AAGAAUGCCUGAUUGUCUUUCCAAUGGUUAAUAUAUAAUUUACUUUCAAAGAUGGGCGUUAUUAGUCUCCUAACCUGCAUAACCGUUCUAAUACCUGAGGCUCCUCAUUAAAUGCCAAAAAACUCUUAAUUUUAUCUUACAAAGUAUAAUUUAGCGCCUUGCAUAGCAUACUUACAAACAUUGUGCACAUAUUCAAAUAGAAUAUUAAGAUCCCAUUCUAUUGCGUAAAAUUUGGAAACUUAAUUGACAAAGAAGUUGAAAACUUGCUGCUUCGUCAAUGGACCACAGCAACUGUAGUGGCAUAGCCAGAGACAGUGAAAAACACUGUUGGACAAGCCAAACACAGCAAAAGGAGCAGAAAGUAGUCUUUCACUGCUGUGCAACACAAUACAAAGUACAAACACCCGCCGCCAAUACCAAAUAUCAAGCAACAACAAUAAGUUAAGAAACCAAUCCUCAAGCAUGACACCACAUCUAUGCAAUCCUUCAAUUUAAAUUUUAAACGAAAAAAAAAAAGGGGGACCCUAAUCUGCCUCCAAUAAUCCAAUUAUCAAAAUAAUAUAUUACAAGCACGUCAGCUAAGCCAAGCCCAAAGCUUAUAGGUCAGUCAAAUGAUCUCCUGGAUUCCAAAUAACCAUCUCCAAAAAUAAUUUUCUUUCAAUGGCACAGUUGAGGGGAAAAUCACCAAUUAACCAAUUAAGCGUGGUAAAUAAUACAAAAUACAUUGUGAACUAAGAAUGAUACAUGACAAAAUAAGCUAAAACAUCACCAAUAAACCAGCUAAUUAUGGCAAAUAAUUAAGUAAGAAUCAGACAGCUAAAGCAGCGAAAUUUAACCAACUCUGUCCCAAGAAUUUGAUUAAUGGUGAAAUUUAUCACCCACAUAAAUAUUGACAUACUAAUCAAAAUAUACAGAAAUGCUAAAUUCAUUACAAAUAUGAAACAAGAAAGAUAAAGAUACAUGGACAUUACUCACAAAUCCUAAGAAGAGUUGAAUUGCCGAAAGGUGAUCACAUCGAGAAUGAAUCCAAGCAAACAAUGAAAGUGAAAUCUCAGAGCUAAAAUCCACGUUCUGGAACGACGGAGGAG
rnacentral:misc_RNA from 1 species